AUUGAACGCUGGCGGCAGGCUUAACACAUGCAAGUCGAGCGAGCGGCGGACGGGUGAGUAAUGUCUGGGAAACUGCCUGAUGGAGGGGGAUAACUACUGGACACGGUAGCUAAUACCGCAUACCCUCAGAUGUGCCCAGAUGGGUUUAGCUAGUAGGUGGGGUAUUGACUCACCUAGGCGACGAUCCCUUGCUGGUGUGAGAGGAUGAACAGCCACACUGGAACUGAGAGACGGUCCGUACACCUACGGGAGGCAGCAGUGGGGAAUAUAGAACAAUGGGCGCAAGCCUGAUGCAGCCAUGCCGCGUGUGUGAAGAAGGCCUUCGGGUUGUAAAGCACUUUCAGCGAGGAGGCGUUACUCACAAAAAAAGCACCGGCUAACUCCGGGCCAGCAGCCGCGGUAAUAC
rnacentral:rRNA from 1 species